UGGGGAAUAUUGGACAAUGGGCGAAAGCCUGAUCCAGCAAUGCCGCGUGUGUGAAGAAGGCCUGCGGGUUGUAAAGCACUUUCAGUGGGGAAGAUUAUGACGGUACCCACAGAAGAAGCACCGGCUAACUCCGUGCCAGCAGCCGCGGUAAUACGGAGGGUGCGAGCGUUAAUCGGAAUUACUGGGCGUAAAGCGCGCGUAGGUGGCUACGUAAGUCGGAUGUGAAAGCCCCGGGCUUAACCUGGGAACUGCAUUCGAAACUGCGUGGCUAGAGUAUGGUAGAGGGAAGUGGAAUUCCGGGUGUAGCGGUGAAAUGCGUAGAUAUCCGGAGGAACACCAGUGGCGAAGGCGGCUUCCUGGACCAAUACUGACACUGAGGUGCGAAAGCGUGGGGAGCAAACAGGAUUAGAUACCCCCGUAGUCC
rnacentral:rRNA from 1 species